rfam:Apaloderma vittatum contig45613, whole genome shotgun sequence.
UAGCUCAGUCAGUUAGAGCAUGGUGCUGAUAACACCAAGGUCACAGGUUCGAUCCCUGCU